AUUGAACGCUGGCGGCAGGCUUAACACAUGCAAGUCGAGCGGGGGAAGGUAGCUUGCUACCGGACCUAGCGGCGGACGGGUGAGUAAUGCUUAGGAAUCUGCCUAUUAGUGGGGGACAACACCUCGAAAGGGAUGCUAAUACCGCAUACGUCCUACGGGAGAAAGCAGGGGAUCUUCGGACCUUGCGCUAAUAGAUGAGCCUAAGUCGGACUAGCUAGUUGGUGGGGUAAAGGCCUACCAAGGCGACGAUCUGUAGCGGGUCUGAGAGGAUGAUCAGCCACACUGGGACUGAGACACGGCCCAGACUCCUACGGGAGGCAGCAGUGGGGAAUAUUGGACAAUGGGGGGAACCCUGAUCCAGCCAUGCCGCGUGUGUGAAGAAGGCCUUAUGGUUGUAAAGCACUUUAAGCGAGGAGGAGGCUCUUUUGGUUAAUACCCAAGAUGAGUGGACGUUACUCGCAGAAUAAGCACCGGCUAACUCUGUGCCAGCCGCCGCUGUAA
rnacentral:rRNA from 1 species